ensembl:lncRNA
CGGGGGUUGAGCACCUUUUCCUGUGCUGUGCCUCUUUGCCAUCCUGUUUCUGCCUUGGAGCCAGGCAACUAUGGACUGAAACCAUGAGCCUCUCCUUCAAGCUGUGGGUGUUCCAGAAGCAGGAAGGCAACUAAAACAAUGCCUUCUCCAUUGUUUAUUCAGGGGGAAAAGUGAACUGGUGUUUGAUAUAAAUACGCACGGAGUUACUUGAACCCUAGCACCCCAUCAGGAUUUCCGCAGCAUUUACUUUCUGGAUACCGCUCUUUCUACAAAUGAACGAACAGGACCAAGAGGACAAGCAAGCCUGGGAGUGGGGGCAAUGUACAAUUCUGCACUGCCCACUGCCUCGACCCACAUGAUGAGAAAACCGAGGCACAGAGGGCCAGGGUACAAAGUCAGGCCACCUGGGUCCUGAGGGGCACUGUUAACCCCUGUCGAGUGGCCGUGUGCUGUUAUUCCCUGGAUGAGAAUGGAGUCUUCUACGAUCAGGAUGCGUGAUCCUAAUGGCAGGGAAAUUCGGGUUCACUUCCAGCAGGGAGGAAGCGGGUGGGCCAGAAACGCAGAGUGGAG